GCUAUGGUAUAACUUAGUGGCAGACGGGUGAGUAAUGUAUAGGAAUCUACCUAGUAGUACGGAAUAAUUGUUGGAAACGGCAACUAAUACCGUAUACCACCCUACGGGGGAAAAAUUUAUUGCUAUUANAUGAGCCUAUAUUAGAUUAGCUAGUUGGUGGAGUAAUAGCCUACCAAGGCAAUGAUCUAUAGCUGAUCUGAGAGGAUGAUCAGCCACACUGGAACUGAGAUACGGUCCAGACUCCUACGGGAGGCAGCAGUGGGGAAUAUUGGACAAUGGGCGAAAGCCUGAUCCAGCCAUGCCGCAUGAGUGAAGAAGGCCUUUGGGCUGUAAAGCUCUUUUANUGAGGAAGAUAAUGACGGUACUCACAGAAGAAGUCCUGGCUAACUCCGUGCCAGCAGCCGCGGUAAUACGGAGAGGGCUAGUGUUAUUCGGAAUCAUUGGGCGUAAAGGGCGCGUAGGCUGGUUAGUAAGUUAAAAGUGAAAUCCCGAGGCUUAACCUUGGAACUGCUUUU
rnacentral:rRNA from 1 species